CCAUUGCUACAACCGCUCAGUACAGGUGUUAAGAGCUUUUCAGCCCCCUGCUGCUGGCGAGUCUUAGUCUAAUA
rfam:Bacillus sp. NRRL B-41092 Bacillus-sp-B-41092_contig_5, whole genome shotgun sequence.